GGUUAAGCGACUAAGCGUACACGGUGGAUGCCCUGGCAGUCAGAGGCGAUGAAGGACGUGCUAAUCUGCGAUAAGCGUCGGUAAGGUGAUAUGAACCGUUAUAACCGGCGAUUUCCGAAUGGGGAAACCCAGUGUGAUUCGUCACACUAUCAUUAACUGAAUCCAUAGGUUAAUGAGGCGAACCGGGGGAACUGAAACAUCUAAGUACCCCGAGGAAAAGAAAUCAACCGAGAUUCCCCCAGUAGCGGCGAGCGAACGGGGAGCAGCCCAGAGCCUGAAUCAGUGUGUGUGUUAGUGGAAGCGUCUGGAAAGGCGCGCGAUACAGGGUGACAGCCCCGUACACAAAAAUGCACAUACUGUGAGCUCGAUGAGUAGGGCGGGACACGUGGUAUCCUGUCUGAAUAUGGGGGGACCAUCCUCCAAGGCUAAAUACUCCUGACUGACCGAUAGUGAACCAGUACCGUGAGGGAAAGGCGAAAAGAACCCCGGCGAGGGGAGUGAAAAAGAACCUGAAACCGUGUACGUACAAGCAGUGGGAGCACGCUUAGGCGUGUGACUGCGUACCUUUUGUAUAAUGGGUCAGCGACUUAUAUUCUGUAGCAAGGUUAACCGAAUAGGGGAGCCGAAGGGAAACCGAGUCUUAACUGGGCGUUAAGUUGCAGGGUAUAGACCCGAAACCCGGUGAUCUAGCCAUGGGCAGGUUGAAGGUUGGGUAACACUAACUGGAGGACCGAACCGACUAAUGUUGAAAAAUUAGCGGAUGACUUGUGGCUGGGGGUGAAAGGCCAAUCAAACCGGGAGAUAGCUGGUUCUCCCCGAAAGCUAUUUAGGUAGCGCCUCGUGAAUUCAUCUCCGGGGGUAGAGCACUGUUUCGGCAAGGGGGUCAUCCCGACUUACCAACCCGAUGCAAACUGCGAAUACCGGAGAAUGUUAUCACGGGAGACACACGGCGGGUGCUAACGUCCGUCGUGAAGAGGGAAACAACCCAGACCGCCAGCUAAGGUCCCAAAGUCAUGGUUAAGUGGGAAACGAUGUGGGAAGGCCCAGACAGCCAGGAUGUUGGCUUAGAAGCAGCCAUCAUUUAAAGAAAGCGUAAUAGCUCACUGGUCGAGUCGGCCUGCGCGGAAGAUGUAACGGGGCUAAACCAUGCACCGAAGCUGCGGCAGCGACGCUUAUGCGUUGUUGGGUAGGGGAGCGUUCUGUAAGCCUGUGAAGGUGUGCUGUGAGGCAUGCUGGAGGUAUCAGAAGUGCGAAUGCUGACAUAAGUAACGAUAAAGCGGGUGAAAAGCCCGCUCGCCGGAAGACCAAGGGUUCCUGUCCAACGUUAAUCGGGGCAGGGUGAGUCGACCCCUAAGGCGAGGCCGAAAGGCGUAGUCGAUGGGAAACAGGUUAAUAUUCCUGUACUUGGUGUUACUGCGAAGGGGGGACGGAGAAGGCUAUGUUGGCCGGGCGACGGUUGUCCCGGUUUAAGCGUGUAGGCUGGUUUUCCAGGCAAAUCCGGAAAAUCAAGGCUGAGGCGUGAUGACGAGGCACUACGGUGCUGAAGCAACAAAUGCCCUGCUUCCAGGAAAAGCCUCUAAGCAUCAGGUAACAUCAAAUCGUACCCCAAACCGACACAGGUGGUCAGGUAGAGAAUACCAAGGCGCUUGAGAGAACUCGGGUGAAGGAACUAGGCAAAAUGGUGCCGUAACUUCGGGAGAAGGCACGCUGAUAUGUAGGUGAAGCGACUUGCUCGUGGAGCUGAAAUCAGUCGAAGAUACCAGCUGGCUGCAACUGUUUAUUAAAAACACAGCACUGUGCAAACACGAAAGUGGACGUAUACGGUGUGACGCCUGCCCGGUGCCGGAAGGUUAAUUGAUGGGGUCAGCGCAAGCGAAGCUCUUGAUCGAAGCCCCGGUAAACGGCGGCCGUAACUAUAACGGUCCUAAGGUAGCGAAAUUCCUUGUCGGGUAAGUUCCGACCUGCACGAAUGGCGUAAUGAUGGCCAGGCUGUCUCCACCCGAGACUCAGUGAAAUUGAACUCGCUGUGAAGAUGCAGUGUACCCGCGGCAAGACGGAAAGACCCCGUGAACCUUUACUAUAGCUUGACACUGAACAUUGAGCCUUGAUGUGUAGGAUAGGUGGGAGGCUUUGAAGUGUGGACGCCAGUCUGCAUGGAGCCGACCUUGAAAUACCACCCUUUAAUGUUUGAUGUUCUAACGUUGACCCGUAAUCCGGGUUGCGGACAGUGUCUGGUGGGUAGUUUGACUGGGGCGGUCUCCUCCUAAAGAGUAACGGAGGAGCACGAAGGUUGGCUAAUCCUGGUCGGACAUCAGGAGGUUAGUGCAAUGGCAUAAGCCAGCUUGACUGCGAGCGUGACGGCGCGAGCAGGUGCGAAAGCAGGUCAUAGUGAUCCGGUGGUUCUGAAUGGAAGGGCCAUCGCUCAACGGAUAAAAGGUACUCCGGGGAUAACAGGCUGAUACCGCCCAAGAGUUCAUAUCGACGGCGGUGUUUGGCACCUCGAUGUCGGCUCAUCACAUCCUGGGGCUGAAGUAGGUCCCAAGGGUAUGGCUGUUCGCCAUUUAAAGUGGUACGCGAGCUGGGUUUAGAACGUCGUGAGACAGUUCGGUCCCUAUCUGCCGUGGGCGCUGGAGAACUGAGGGGGGCUGCUCCUAGUACGAGAGGACCGGAGUGGACGCAUCACUGGUGUUCGGGUUGUCAUGCCAAUGGCACUGCCCGGUAGCUAAAUGCGGAAGAGAUAAGUGCUGAAAGCAUCUAAGCACGAAACUUGCCCCGAGAUGAGUUCUCCCUGACUCCUUGAGAGUCCUGAAGGAACGUUGAAGACGACGACGUUGAUAGGCCGGGUGUGUAAGCGCAGCGAUGCGUUGAGCUAACCGGUACUAAUGAACCGUGAGGCUUAACCUU
rnacentral:rRNA from 1 species